AAACAAAAACACCUAAAAUGUGGAAUAUAGCAUAUAGUCGACAAGAGAAAUCUACGAAAAACAAACAAAACUUUCAACAACGGAUCUCUUGGUUCUCGCAUCGAUGAAGAGCGCAGCGAAAUGCGAUACCUAGUGUGAAUUGCAGCCAUCGUGAAUCAUCGAGUUCUUGAACGCACAUUGCGCCCCUCGGCAUUCCGGGGGGCAUGCCUGUUUGAGCGUCGUUUCCAUCUUGCGCGUGCGCAGAGUUGGGGGAGCGGAGCGGACGACGUGUAAAGAGCGUCGGAGCUGCGACUCGCCUGAAAGGGAGCGAAGCUGGCCGAGCGAACUAGACUUUUUUUCAGGGACGCUUGGCGGCCGAGAGCGAGUGUUGCGAGACAACAAAAAGCUCGACCUCAAAUCAGGUAGGAAUACCCGCUGAACUUAAGCAUAUC
rnacentral:rRNA from 1 species